rnacentral:rRNA from 1 species
GACGAACGCUGGCGGCGUGCCUAAUACAUGCAAGUAGGACGCUGAAGGAGGAGCUUGCUUCUCUGGAUGAGUUGCGAACGGGUGAGUAACGCGUAGGUAACCUGCCUGGUAGCGGGGGACAACUAUUGGAAACGAUAGCUAAUACCGCAUAAUAGUAGAUGUUGCAUGACAUUUGCUUAAAAGGUGCAAUUGCAUCACUACCAGAUGGACCUGCGUUGUAUUAGCUAGUUGGUGGGGUAACGGCUCACCAAGGCGACGAUACAUAGCCGACCUGAGAGGGUGAUCGGCCACACUGGGACGGAGACACGGCCCAGACUACUACGGGAGGCAGCAGUAGGGAAUCUUCGGCAAUGGACGGAAGUGUGACCGAGCAACGACGCGUGAGUGAAGAAGGUUUUCGGAUCGUAAAGCUCUGUUGUAAGAGAAGAACGAGUGUGAGAGUGGAAAGUUCACACUGUGACGGUAUCUUACCAGAAAGGGACGGCUAACUACGUG